rnacentral:rRNA from 1 species
UACGUAGGGGGCGAGCGUUGUCCGGAAUUAUUGGGCGUAAAGCGCGUGCAGGCGGUCUGUUAAGUCUGUGGUGAAAGCCCGGGGCCCAACCCCGGAACUGCCGCGGAGACUGGGAGACUGGAGUGUCGGAGAGGAGUGCGGAAUACCAGGUGUAGCGGUGGAAUGCGUAGAGAUCUGGUGGAACACCGAUGGCGAAGGCAGCACUCUGGCCGAAUACUGACGCUGAGACGCGAAAGCGUGGGGAGCGAACGGG